rnacentral:siRNA from 1 species
GAGCCAUAAACUAUUUCGAUUCUC